CAAUAAAUGAGUCCUACUCCUACACCUACUCUUAUCACUUGUAAUCCAAAAAAGCUCCAUUUCUUUCUUGCACGCUAAUUCACUAUUAAAUAGAAAUGUAUAUGCAAAACAGCGAGAAAUUUGUAGAUACGUUGAAUGUUGUUGCUUUCACAUUUGCAACUCUUAGUAGUUGUUCAAAACAACAAUGUCGAGCAAAGAUGUUUGCGAUGUUUGAAUGAUUCUUGGAUUGUAUUUGGAUUCCAUCGGUACUAUGGCCUGUUGAUUCGGCACCUUUGUCAUUUUAGCAACUUUUGUUUUCUUUUCUGUGUCGAUGUAGUUCUCUAUACCAUAUUCAUGUUCAUAUUCAUGUUCAUAUUCAUGUUCAUAUCAAUGUGCAUAUCAAGGUCAAUAUCAAUGUCCAUAUCAAUUUCCCAUGUUCCAUUACAUAUCCCGUGUUCUUUCCUUCUUCCAGCUUUUACAUGCUAGCCUUUUAUACAAUGAUUCCUCUCAUCUCGACUCGCUUGAUGAAUGGGCGUUUAGNUUNUUGCAACAACAUAUGCGUUGGGUUAUCUCAUAUCGGGAAACACUUUCUGCCACUUUUAACUUGAACAAAGUUGGAGAAAUAAAGUGAUGGCAGAAUAUUGCAAGCUGUUUAUAGCGUGNCCUGUAGAAUGUAAAAACGCUAUGUUUUCGUGAAUGCCCAGCCUGUAAAUCGAAAAAAGAUUUCGGNAUUUAUUAAGCAUGGNAANAUCNCAANUGGGAAAAAACCCGNAUACGGUUGGNNCNCNUUCCNNGUCGGUUCNCCAG
rnacentral:sRNA from 1 species